rnacentral:lncRNA from 1 species
CAUGCAAGAAAUGUUCUUACAUGAAAUUUUUCUUAUGCCCAGAAGAGUUUAUCGCCCAUUCUCUGGUCCAUUUUGGAUUUGGAUAAGUUUGGUUUAUAAUUCAAAUUCAAAUGGUUUGAAUUUAACUUAAAACAACCUAGAUCUUAUUUUUAUCCUUACCUUGGCGCCAACACCUUGGAGGGCUGAUCAUUUGUGCAACAAAUGAGAAGACAUUUACAUGAGAAAUGUCUCAUGCCUUAGCCCUUCUGACGCCCCUCUUGGAUAAGGAUAAAGUGGUUUUUGUUUGAAUUCAAAAUGGUUUGAAUUCAAACUAAAUCAACC